UUUCAGCAUUUCUCCCAUCGAUGAAGACAGAUUCCUUCAUAUCUCCUGUAGGUAUAACAUAUGCUCAUAAAACCAGCUGGAAGUGGGACACAUAAACAGCAGUCACUCAGCAGUGGCUGCUCAUGCCAGUUUCAGUGGAACACAGUCAGGAGCUGCUGAUCUUGUUUUAACCAACAUCCCUCUUUGAUUCAGCCUAACUGUUCUUUGGAAUUCCUCUACUCUCUUGCCAUUGACUAAAACAUUAAAAAGCAAGAUGUUGUGAGGAAACAAAAAGGAGCUGUGAGCAUUACAUAACCAUCAAACAACAUUCUACGCACUGUGUUAAAUUUCCUAAACCUGCAAGGAGGAAUGUGUCACCAGCCAGAGAGACGUCACUUCGGCUGACUGCUGAGUCCUUUGGAAUAGAUGCUACUCCCCUUUGUGCAUAUUCACGGUGAAAUGUUUUAACAGGACAAAGUGAUUUAUUUCAGUAGACAUAGCUUCUUGGGUAAAUGAAAAAAAAUUGUUCUCUCCACUAGAUUUAUUAAGCUAUAAACAAACUAUGGCUAUUCAAAUGAGUUCUGAGCUAUAUGUACCUGGGAGCAUCUAGCACUGUGUAUCCAGGUACCCAAUCUGUCAUAGCUGCAUUAGCUAGGGGAUGAUAUGGGUCUGCCUUACUGCAGAGCUGCCCAACAUGUUUGGUUUGUGUCCAGUAUCUUGGUUUGCAUGAUUAUACAAAUCUCUGUGCCAGAACAAUGCACCCUCAGUAAACAUAACUAUUCUACUGCUUUUCUCCUUUUAUUUUCUGAAUUUAAAUUACUGCUUAUACUGUGGUACUGAACAACUAAUGCUCUGCAGUGGAUCUCACCUUACAGAUUGUUACCAAUUGUAAAAUCCUUUCUCUAUAUUACAGGCAGAUAAAUGAAACACUGAAGAGGGUGACUGAGUUUCAGACUCUGAAUCUGUGUUUGCAUGUCACCAUCCUGUUCUUGUCUUAAUUUAAUCAGGAAGCUGAAGCCAUGGGUGACAUUAUACUUCUUUACAUGGAAACUGAAAAAGAAGUUUUGGAACUUAAUUCACAGAAAACAGCUCUGAGUUUGGGAGAUGGAUGAGUUUCCCUUGGGUCCACUGUCACCAUAAACUGUUAGUGACAUAAAAAUAUCAUCAUCCAAAAAUAUAUUUGGUCUUGAAAUAAGAUGUGUGUCCUGUCAGUGGAGAUAAUGAAACUGUUAGAUGGCUUAACAAGGCAGUUGAUACAUUUGUCUUCUAUUAUAAUAGUAUUUAAAAUAAGUUUUAAAGUUUUUUAAAUAAUUACUUUCGGGAAGAUAUCUCUGUCCAGCAGCUGGACAACCUCUUACAACCUGGGUAUGCAAUGGUCAGAUGAUCACUGUAACAUGGGAUGUCAUUUCUAGUAUGAGAAAAAAAUCCCAGAAAAUUAACCUAAAUUAACCUAAUUCAAUUGCAUUAUUCAUUGUUCCUGAAGUCCAUAACCCAUUAAGUAUAUAUUGGCAAGUCUUUCUCUGGACUUACAGAUUGUUAAUAACUAAAACUGAGCAAGUUUAGCAUAUAUAUGUGUAUGUUUAUAUUCAUACUUGUUUAUAGCACAUAAUAAAUAGGAGCUAAUUUCAUUUGCUCAUCUUACAUGAAGAAGUACUGAAAUAUCAGACACACAGUCAUGGCUUAAGCCCAGCUGUCAAAUAAGAGCCACACAGCCUCAAUGCUUCCCUCUCCUCGCUCUCUCCCCUGGAGGAGGUGUAGAAUCUAAAGUAAAACUUUUAUGUUGAGAUGGGAAAAGUUUAAUAAUUGAAAACAAAGUAAAAAAAAAAAAGUAUUGGAAAGGAAAAAGCAUACAAUUGCUCACCAUCCACUGACCGAUGCCAUGUCCCAUUCCAAAACCCAGAUCAUACCCUCUUCCAGGUAACUCCCCCAGUUUAUGUAAUGGGUAUGACAUUCUGUGAUGUGCAAUAUCCCUUGGGCCAGUUUUGGUCACCUGUCCAUGGCUAUGGCCUCUCCCACUUUUUUGAUUUGUUGUACCUCCUCACUGUCAUGAGCAUGAGACAUAAAAAAAAUAUUCCUUGACUUAGGAUAAACACAACUUAGACAAAACCAAAACUUCAGUGUGUUAUCAACAUCAUUCUCAUUCUAAAUCCAAAACACAGCACUGUACCAUCUACUAUAAGAAGGAAUUAAAUCUAUCCCAGCUGAAACCAGGACACACAGAGACCUUCAUAAUCAGUAUUUGCCUGGAAAAUUUUAAAAGCAGAUGUGUGAAAGUGCAAAAUGUAUAAAUCAUCUCUGACAAAUCCUAAGAAAGACUGCUAAUUUUUUUUUAAAUACCUUAUAAGCUCAGAGGUGACAUAAAGUCUAAGUUAA